CCAAAGCUUCAGGAUCUCCAUGACACAAGGCAACAAUAGACUAUUCAAGAGGAAUCCCAGCGAGGGAACAGCAUCAACAGUGUAGCAGAAACCAGAGGACUCAAGCCAAACCAAUGACUCUUUCAAGUGAACUCUUGUCUUUGCUGAAGAUCCCGCUGGCUGGGACAACUGGCGCCCGGCGUGAGGCUCUAGGACGUGGAGGAGUGGUGAACGUCGUCACACACCAAGGCAGGCCUGCCUAAGAGUUGUACCACUGUGGAAGAUGGCUCCACGAUCGAGGGUCCGGUCAGUUAUCGCUACGGAAACUCCUGGCCAUGAGUCAGAUCUGAAGGAGUUUUAACGUGACGACACAAGAUGCUGAUGAAGAAAAAACUAGGAGAAUUUCCCUGGAUAUUCUGGAUCUUGCUGUUGCCUUUACCUUCUUAUCAGGACCAGAGACCGGUGGACACAUCCCCAUUUGCAUGGUGCUUUUAUUUGACUGAAAAUUAUACUAAUUAUGCUAAAACACAGACCUUUGGUCACCUAUUGGCUACCACUGAUUGCCCCUUGCAAAGAUGUCAGAAUCUCAUUUUACUCAACUUGACUGAUUUCCAUAAUUCCCCCGGCAAGGUGGCUCCUGCUAUCUGUUUUUUGUAUGAUCAGACUGUUCACAAUUGCAAAACUUAUUUGAAAGAGAAAAGCGUAGGAUGCCCCUAUUCUUACUGCAAAAUUCAUGAUGCCAUUCCUCCUGCUAAGGGACAGGUAAUUGGGAGAGAAUGGAA